GGGAGUUGGUGAUGGACAGGGAAGCCUGGCAUGCUGCCAUCCAUGGGGUACAAAGAGUCGGACACAACUGAGCAAGUGAACUGAACUGAAGAACUUUUUGGUCCAUACAGAAGUCUUUAAAAUAACCAAGUGGCUGCUAAGUCGCUUCAGUCAUGUCUGACUCUUUUAAACCCUAUAGACUGUAGCCCAUUGGGCUCCUCUGUUCGUGGGAUCCUCCAGGCAAGAAUACUGGAGUAGGUUGCCUUGCCCUCCUCCAGGGGACCUUCCCAACCCAGGGAUAGAACCUGUUUCUCUUAUAUAAUUAUUCAGGUGUAAUAGCAUGGUGACGUCAUACAGUGAGAGAGGAAAAUGAGGGAGUUAUCCGUUUGCAUUCUGGGUUUUCCUCUAAGGCUCCAAAGCUUGGAAGAUCCAGCAUAACUAUUUUCAGGCAGGAGAAAGUCAGCAGGCAGGAAGCCUCAAGGUUCUGAGGCAGUCCCUCUGGAAUCCAAAGAUAGAAGGACUGAGAAGGAGGAGAAGGGGGUUUCAAGAGAGGAUAGGACUCCCAAGUCACCCUUCCAGGUAGAUUCUGCCAGAGGACAGAUUAAAUGAUGCAAAGGUGAAAACACAUAUUGUAUUUCCAUCCAGGCUCCCCGUGUACCUGUGACCAGCAGGGAUCAGACUGACGUGUCCAGACGCCCUUCUUUACAGUGAGAUUAUCUCACGUGAGAGACAGAGAGCAAGAUCGUCUUCGUGAAGUCAGGAACGUGGCUCUGCCCCCUGUGUAUAGAGAGUGCUCCAUCUGAAUGUUGAACCCACCCUCAGAGGCAGCUCCCUCAUCAGGAACUGAGUCCUGACUGGUCACGCUCAACUGUGCAGCCAGCCCACGCUAGUCCCAAGCCCCUCUGUUUCCCCUCUCUCUGCUAGUCUGGACUUUGUCACUAGACCUCCAGCUCUGCACUUGACCCCCAGUUGUUCCCUCCGCCCAUGCCCAGGGGCCCCCAUGCCUCUCUCCCUGUUGUCUAUUCCGUCUCCUCCCUACAGUUGGUCAAGCCUGAAACUUACAAGGUUUGUGAUCCGUUGCCAUGGGGCUCUUGGUUCUAUGUAUGUUUCCCUUUUGGUGGCGCAGCAUGGUGAGCAUCUUAUACUGGGUGGGAUGAUAAAAAAGAUCCUGGAGUUGGUGUCAGAAAACCUUUCACCUCAACCCCAGCUCCUGCACUUACUGGCAGGAAGAUGUUGGUGUGUAUCCAUCUUUCUGAUCCCAAGCUCCCUCCUGCCGGGGUUUGUGAAGGUCACCACCACAGCCCACGGGUUGCCACUGCCCACACCACGACCUGAUAAACAGGGGUGA
rnacentral:lncRNA from 1 species